UACGUAGGAUCCGAGCGUUGUCCGGAAUUACUGGGCGUAAAGAGCUUGUAGGUGGUUUGUCGCGUUGUUCGUGAAAACUCACAGCUUAACUGUGGGCGUGCGGGCGAUACGGGCAGACUUGAGUACUGCAGGGGAGACUGGAAUUCCUGGUGUAGCGGUGAAAUGCGUAGAUAUCUGGAGGAACACCGGUGGCGAAGGCGGCAUCCUGGACCAUUACUGACACUGAAAAGCGAAAGCCAGGGGAGCAAACGGG
rnacentral:rRNA from 1 species